rnacentral:lncRNA from 1 species
UUUUUUAUUACAAUAUCUACAAUAAGUUUAUCAUAACAAUAAACAAAAGUAACAAUAAGUAUAUAAAUAUUUACUUCAAUUUAUAUUUACAUAGCUCCUUAUGAUGUAAAAGGUUCAGAUUCCUGUGCAUUUUUCUUUAUAUUAAUGGAAUGAUUGUUUGAUAAAUUCUUCCAAAUUUAAUUAUAGGUCCAAAAGUCUAAACAAAUUUCGCAACUCUCUAUAAUAAUUAGAACUCAUGUUACACGAAUACGGGGGGAAAUGUAUCAAUGAAAAGGAAUGACCCUUCUUUAAAAUUGUCUCAAUAUGUAUAAAAAUUACCUUACAGAAGAAUAUUGGGGUAUUUCUUUUGAAAAAUUAUAAUAUCUUAUGAAUUGCGUAAUAUUUUAUAGUACACAUUUAGAUCCAGUUACAAAAAGAAGCAUAGGUUUGAAUAGAAGUCAGAACUAUUUAAAUGAAUAAGUAUUAAUGUGUAAAUACAUAUUUUGCACACCUUUUUAGAUCUCUUAUGUUUGUAUGUGGUUGUCACGCAGGUGUUUUGUUGCGUCUUAACAUUGAUCCACUCACUAUAUAAUUUGAGAUAAAUUAAGUUGAACUAGUUUACUUUCUUUCCAGGAUCUUAACUGUUAGAUAAAGUCUGAAGAAUCAUUUAUUAUAAAACAAACCACACACAUUUGAUAGACAGUAAUCCAGCUACAAAAAAAUUGAAAUAGCAUAACAAUUAACAUAAACUAGUUGCUGAUUCUUGUGUACAGUGUUAUCACGUCUAUAUUCAUUCAGUCAAACAUGGAAUAAACAGGAUGAAGAUCAUAAUAAUAAAAAAAACUCAGUUAUUUGACAGUCGUAUCAAAUUCAACUAUAUUGUAAUAACGUUUGAGUAAAACUACAGAUAUACAAAUUCAAUUGUCAAAAAUAGGGGAACAGCAGUCAACACCAUUGUGUUUUAAUCUUAAUCACUACAAAAACAAACAGACAUAUCAACAAGAAAAUCAGAAUUGCAUUUAGACAAAGUGCAUUUAUAAGUUUAAGCGAAACACAAGAAUA